UACGUAGGGUGCGAGCGUUGUCCGGAAUUAUUGGGCGUAAAGAGCUUGUAGGCGGUUUGUCGCGUCUGCUGUGAAAAUCCGGGGCUCAACCCCGGACUUGCAGUGGGUACAGGCAGACUAGAGUGUGGUAGGGGAGACUGGAAUUCCUGGUGUAGCGGUGAAAUGCGCAGAUAUCAGGAGGAACACCGAUGGCGAAGGCAGGUCUCUGGGCCACUACUGACGCUGAGAAGCGAAAGCAUGGGGAGCGAACAGG
rnacentral:rRNA from 1 species